rnacentral:rRNA from 1 species
AGGUGAACCUGCGGAAGGAUCAUUACCUAGAGUUUGCAGACUUCGGUCUGCUACCUCUUACCCAUGUCUUUUGAGUACCUUCGUUUCCUCGGCGGGUCCGCCCGCCGGUUGGACAACAUUCAAACCCUUUGCAGUUGCAAUCAGCGUCUGAAAAAACUUAAUAGUUACAACUUUCAACAACGGAUCUCUUGGUUCUGGCAUCGAUGAAGAACGCAGCGAAAUGCGAUAAGUAGUGUGAAUUGCAGAAUUCAGUGAAUCAUCGAAUCUUUGAACGCACAUUGCGCCCCUUGGUAUUCCAUGGGGCAUGCCUGUUCGAGCGUCAUUUGUACCUUCAAGCUCUGCUUGGUGUUGGGUGUUUUGUCUCGCCUCCGCGCGCAGACUCGCCUUAAAACAAUUGGCAGCCGGCGUAUUGAUUUCGGAGCGCAGUACAUCUCUGCGCUUUGCACUCAUAACGACGACGUCCAAAAGUACAUUUUUACACUCUUGACCUCGGAUCAGGUAGGGAUACCCGCUGAACUUAAGCAUAUC